CAAGUUUGUGUGGUUUGAAUCGAGUUUAUGUGAUUUGAAGCGUGGCAGUGUGGGAGGGUAUGUUGCAUGGUUUCUCUAGGUCAUUGCCAAUAAUAGAAAUUAUAGCUAUAACUUUAUGGGUGUCUUUUUCACCCUUAUCUACUGUUACUAU